GAGUGAUGUCAGUCCGCGAUAUUCUGCGUCCGAUCGCGGGUUGUGUCCCCAGCCAGGUUGGCUCCGUAGCUUUCACUUGAUCGCAUUGAUCAUCGUCUUGUCGCUUGAACUACUCCACCAACGUCGGCCUCGGUGUCGUUCGUCACGAAUACGAUGCCAUUGCCGCAUCGGGACUUCGCUGGCUCGCUAAACUACAGGCUAGUGUUAAUCUCCUAAUGCUUGUCUUAUCGUUUUUCGGUGCAUGCUACUGCGCUUUACCUCCGUUGGCUUGACAUGAUUGGGCAUCGUUGUUACACUCAAUUUCAUCCAUCACAAUAAUCAACUCG
rnacentral:sRNA from 1 species